UCACAUUCAUCUUCACCCACCGAUGUUUCUGCUUCCGCCUCUGGUUUAUUGACAGAAAUAUCGGAUUCAACACUGGCCUCAAUCGCCUUGUUACCUCUCUUUCUACGUCUAGCGUGUUUACUUGGAGACUCAUUUUGGAGCAAAUGAUCUUCAAACGCUUCAAUAACUUGGUGAAUUAGCUCUCUGUUUGGAGAAGAGUCCCAUCUAUACCAAAAACUGGUGUAACAAUCGAAACACCCACAUUCGAAAAGGGGGACCUUUUGGACACAUUUCUUCUUUCCAUUGGCGUUGGUGGUUUUGCAAUUGUUCUUGGAAUGAUGUUGGUUAGUAUUGAAACAAGAAUAUGGGUGGGUGGCGGUGGUGGAAAUAAGGGACCGUGCUAUCAAGUAAGCCAAAACUUCACGGUCGUGGUUUGGGAGAGAUAAGGCUAGG
rnacentral:misc_RNA from 1 species